rnacentral:rRNA from 1 species
UACGAAGGGGGCUAGCGUUGUUCGGAAUUACUGGGCGUAAAGCGCAUGUAGGCGGUCCUACAAGCCAGGGGUGAAAUCCCAGAGCUCAACUCUGGAAUUGCCUUUGGAACUGUAAGACUGGAGUCUCGGAGAGGAUGGUGGAAUUCCAAGUGUAGAGGUGAAAUUCGUAGAUAUUUGGAGGAACACCGGUGGCGAAGGCGGCCAUCUGGACGAGUACUGACGCUGAGAUGCGAAAGCGUGGGGAGCAAACAGG